GGCUCAGGACGAACGCUGGCGGCGUGCCUAACACAUGCAAGUCGAGCGAGGAGAUCCUCGGGAUGAUCCUAGCGGCGGACGGGUGAGUAACACGUGGGCAACCUGCCUCAUAGAGAGGAAUAGCCUUCCGAAAGGGAGAUUAAUACCUCAUAACACUGCAGUUUCGCAUGGAACAGCAAUUAAAGGAGCAAUCCGCUAUGAGAUGGGCCCGCGGCGCAUUAGCUAGUUGGUGAGGUAACGGCUCACCAAGGCGACGAUGCGUAGCCGACCUGAGAGGGUGAUCGGCCACAUUGGGACUGAGACACGGCCCAGACUCCUACGGGAGGCAGCAGUGGGGAAUAUUGCACAAUGGGGGAAACCCUGAUGCAAGCAACGCCGCGUGAGUGAUGACGGCCUUCGGGUUGUAAAGCUCUGUCUUCAGGGACGAUAAUGACGGUACCUGAGGAGGAAGCCACGGCUAACUACGUGCCAGCCGCAGC
rnacentral:rRNA from 1 species